rnacentral:lncRNA from 1 species
UUUUAGUAAUUUUUUUAUAAUAUAAUAUAGAUUUUUCAAAAAUAAAAAAAUAAAAAACCACAUGAAUUAAUCAUCUCAACUGAAUUACAAAUAAAUAAAAAAUAGAAAACUACAUGAAUUAUUCAUCUCAACUGAAUUACAAAUAAAUAAAUAAAAUACACAUAAAACAUCUUCCUUCCUUAUGUAAUCAAAUAAAUAAUUGUUUAUAGCACUUAUUUAUGAAGGCUAAAAUAACAUCUCAGCCUUUCAAAACCUUUCAAUCUAAAUAAUAUUAUUUUAUUGCCGUGUUUCAUUAGUACAAACUCCGUAACUACAAGGUCUUUCAAAAUAAGAAAAUGAAAAGUUAUAAUUAAACAAUAACUAAAUGAUGAGUCAUGGAAAUUUGCAUCAAAGAUUAUAUGCACAUCUAUCAGGCACAUGCACAUUUCCCUCCAUCAGUGACAUACAUAAUUUUCAACAAAUAACACUUUGGUCGUAAAUAUGAUGGGCACAUAUAUUUUGGACAAUCAGAAUCUUCGGUACAAUCAAUAAGUGCUGUAAUGAAAAAAAAAAUAUUAAGUAUGUAGGUGAUUUUUCUAAAUAUCUUAUAUUUUAUUUUAAGUUUGUUUUAAAAAAAUUACAUGAUUAUUCUAAAAGUUUUCAUUUACAUUUUUGUUUUUCCUGCAAUUUAGUAAAAAAAAUUAACAAUGAUUUUAAUGACGAUUUAUUAAUUAACGACGAUUUUAGUAGAAGAGUCUAAAAAUAUGAAUGAAAUAUUUUAGAAAAACCGUUUUAAAAAAAAUAUUUUUAAAAUUAAAAGUGAAAUAUAAAAUAUUUAAAAUGAUAAAAGAUAAUAAUAUAUUAUUAUUAGAAUAAGAUAAAUAUUACCUAGGAGAUAAAUAAAUAAAGAAAGAAAUUUGUAAAUGAUAAAAAAUGACUUACCGUCCACGUUCAUUGCAAAAAUAAUUAAGAAAAAGAGGAUGGCAAUAACAUAAACAAACUUAACAACUUCAGACAUAUUUUCUCCCCUCGGUAUGUAUGAAAUAUUAUUUGAUUUGAACAAUUAGUAAUUUAUAAAUGGACAUUCUCUUCUUACAAAAAUUAAAUAGUUUUUAGAGCUUAUAGAGUUGUAAGAAAUUGGAGACAUUAUUAAAUGUUUCUUCAAUGCAUCAAA